GACGAACGCUGGCGGCGUGCUUAACACAUGCAAGUCGAGCGGAAAGGCCCUUUCGGGGGUACUCGAACGGCGAACGGGUGAGUAACACGUGAGUAAUCUGCCUCUGGCUUCGGGAUAGCCACCGGAAACGGUGAUUAAUACCGGAUAUGACGCAUCACUGCAUGGUGUGUGCGUGGAAAGUUUUUUCGGCCAGGGAUGUGCUCGCGGCCUAUCAGCUUGUUGGUGGGGUAAUGGCCUACCAAGGCUUCGACGGGUAGCCGGCCUGAGAGGGUGACCGGCCACACUGGGACUGAGACACGGCCCAGACUCCUACGGGAGGCAGCAGUGGGGAAUAUUGGACAAUGGGCGGAAGCCUGAUCCAGCAACGCCGCGUGAGGGAUGACGGCCUUCGGGUUGUAAACCUCUUUCAGCACAGACGAAGCGCAAGUGACGGUAUGUGCAGAAGAAGGACCGGCCAACUACGUGCCAGCCGCCGCAGUAAAAC
rnacentral:rRNA from 1 species